rnacentral:rRNA from 1 species
AACGAACGCUGGCGGCAUGCCUAACACAUGCAAGUCGAACGAGACCUUCGGGUCUAGUGGCGCACGGGUGCGUAACGCGUGGGAACCUGCCCUUAGGUUCGGAAUAACUCCCCGAAAGGGGUGCUAAUACCGGAUAAUGUCUUCGGACCAACGAUUUAUCGCCUUUGGAUGGGCCCGCGUUGGAUUAGCUAGUUGGUAGGGUAAAAGCCUACCAAGGCGACGAUCCAUAGCUGGUCUGAGAGGAUGAUCCGCCACACUGGGACUGGGACACGGCCCAGACUCCUACGGGAGGCAGCAGUGGGGAAUAUUGGACAAUGGGCGAAAGCCUGAUCCAGCAAUGCCGCGUGAGUGAUGAAGGCCUUAGGGUUGUAAAGCUCUUUUACCCGGGAUGAUAAUGACAGUACCGGGAGAAUAAGCUCCGGCUAACUCCGUG